rnacentral:rRNA from 1 species
GAUGAACGCUGGCGGCGUGCCUAAUACAUGCAAGUCGAGCGAACAGACGAGGAGCUUGCUCCUCUGACGUUAGCGGCGGACGGGUGAGUAACACGUGGAUAACCUACCUAUAAGACUGGGAUAACUUCGGGAAACCGGAGCUAAUACCGGAUAAUAUAUUGAACCGCAUGGUUCAAUAGUGAAAGACGGUUUUGCUGUCACUUAUAGAUGUAUCCGCGCCGCAUUAGCUAGUUGGUAAGGUAACGGCUUACCAAGGCAACGAUGCGUAGCCGACCUGAGAGGGUGAUCGGCCACACUGGAACUGAGACACGGUCCAGACUCUUACGGGAGGCAGCAGUAGGGAAUCUUCCGCAAUGGGCGAAAGCCUGACGGAGCAACGCCGCGUGAGUGAUGAAGGUCUUCGGAUCGUAAAACUCUGUUAUUAGGGAAGAACAAAUGUGUAAGUAACUAUGCACGUCUUGACGGUACCUAAUCAGAAAGCCACGGCUAACUACGUG